rnacentral:rRNA from 1 species
AGCGAACGCUGGCGGUAGGCCUAACACAUGCAAGCCGAACGGCAGCACAGUAAGAGCUUGCUCUUACGGGUGGCGAGUGGCGGACGGGUGAGGAAUACAUCGGAAUCUACUUUUUCGUGGGGGAUAACGUAGGGAAACUUACGCUAAUACCGCAUACGACCUACGGGUGAAAGCAGGGGAUCUUCGGACCUUGCGCGAUUGAAUGAGCCGAUGUCGGAUUAGCUAGUUGGCGGGGUAAAGGCCCACCAAGGCGACGAUCCGUAGCUGGUCUGAGAGGAUGAUCAGCCACACUGGAACUGAGACACGGUCCAGACUCCUACGGGAGGCAGCAGUGGGGAAUAUUGGACAAUGGGCGCAAGCCUGAUCCAGCCAUACCGCGUGGGUGAAGAAGGCCUUCGGGUUGUAAAGCCCUUUUGUUGGGAAAGAAAAGCAGCAGGUUAAUACCCCGCUGUUCUGACGGUACCCAAAGAAUAAGCACCGGCUAACUUCGUG